rnacentral:misc_RNA from 1 species
CCAAUUAUAGCGAGCCUGGCCUUUUUGGUCAUGGUCUCGCGAAAACCUGUAUUUAAAACCCCACUCUUGAAUUGUAAAAUGAAUCUUUCUAUAAUGAAUAAGUGGAAAGA